GCCUCAGUAGCACAAUGGUUAAGCGCUCAGCUACUAACUGAAAGGUCGGAGGUUCAAACCCACCAGUGGCU
rnacentral:tRNA from 1 species